AGUAAAAGUCGUAACAAGGUUUCCGUAGGUGAACCUGCGGAAGGAUCAUUACUGGAAAUAUUUCAAGGUUGUUAGCUGGCCUUCCGGGGCAUGUGCUCACCUUGUUUUCAAUCCAAUUCACACCUGUGCACACUUUGUAGUGUCUUGAGGGGGGUUGUCUUUUGGGAUGGAACCUCUCUAGCUCUACGUAUUUUUCACACAUACACUUAUAAAGUUUAGAAUGUUAAUACUUGUGAUAUAAUACACAUCUAUAACAACUUUCAACAACGGAUCUCUUGGCUCUCGCAUCGAUGAAGAACGCAGCGAAAUGCGAUAAGUAAUGUGAAUUGCAGAAUUCAGUGAAUCAUCGAAUCUUUGAACGCACCUUGCGCUCCUUGGUAUUCCGAGGAGCAUGCCUGUUUGAGUGUCAUGAAUCUCUCAAACUAUACAUGGUUUUUGUUAAUCAUUGUAUUAGUUUGGACUUGGAGGUCUGCUGGCGCAAGUCAGCUCCUCUUAAAUGUAUUAGCUUGGAUUCUUGUAUGUGGAUCCUUGGUGUGAUAAUUAUCUACGCCAUGAUGUCCCUUCAAAUUAUAAUCCUGCUUCUAAUCGUCUGUCAAAAGACAAAUGUGUUCAUCACUUGACAUCUGACCUCAAAUCAGGUAGGACUACCCGCUGAACUUAAGCAUAUCAAUAAGCGGAGGAAAAGAAACUAACAAGGAUUCCCCUAGUAACUGCGAGUGAAGCGGGAAAAGCUCAAAUUUAAAAUCUGGCGUCUUCCGGCGUCCGAGUUGUAUUCUGGAGAAGCGUUUUCCGCGC
rnacentral:rRNA from 1 species